GCCGCCCAGCCAGUAUGGUGGAUCCUCGGCUUGUAACCGAGUGGGUUCGGGUUCGAAACCCGAGUAAGGCA